GGAAGACAUUGUUUUGGCUGCUGACAUUUCCUGAAAGAUCUGAGGCGUCCCCUUCACUUCGGGCAUGGGACCCAGACGGCUGAGUGAUGGACCUUAAGGUGUGGGGAGAUUACAACUUGCUCAAGGUCUCAUAGCUAGAAGAUGUCAGAGUGAUAACUCAAACCAUGUCACAUGACUCUAAGCCCAAAGCAGCCUCUAGAAGGUUGUUUGAUCUUCUGAUGGAAGCACAAAUCACCAUUCCAACAUGAAAGAUGGAGAAACUUAAGUCUAGAGAGAUUUAAAGGACUUGUCAAAGGCAAUGAAACAAGUGGAACUCUGAAAGCCACAUGUUGAGAUGGCCCCAUUACAGGAUGGAGAGCACCUGAACCCCCAAGUUAUGGACUAGAAGAAGACAGUUGCCCUGGAAAAUCAUCUGACCCACAUUGGACUUUAUGUGAGGGGGAAAUAAACCUUUAUUAUGUUAAGC
rnacentral:lncRNA from 10 species